AUUGAACGCUGGCGGCAGGCCUAACACAUGCAAGUCGAGCGGAUGAAGGGAGCUUGCUCCUGGAUUCAGCGGCGGACGGGUGAGUAAUGCCUAGGAAUCUGCCUGGUAGUGGGGGAUAACGUCCGGAAACGGGCGCUAAUACCGCAUACGUCCUGAGGGAGAAGGUGGGGGAUCUUCGGACCUCACGCUAUCAGAUGAGCCUAGGUCGGAUUAGCUAGUUGGUGGGGUAAAGGCCUACCAAGGCGACGAUCCGUAACUGGUCUGAGAGGAUGAUCAGUCACACUGGAACUGAGACACGGUCCAGACUCCUACGGGAGGCAGCAGUGGGGAAUAUUGGACAAUGGGCGAAAGCCUGAUCCAGCCAUGCCGCGUGUGUGAAGAAGGUCUUCGGAUUGUAAAGCACUUUAAGUUGGGAGGAAGGGCAGUAAGUUAAUACCUUGCUGUUUUGACGUUACCAACAGAAUAAGCACCGGCUAACUUCGU
rnacentral:rRNA from 1 species